rnacentral:rRNA from 1 species
GACGAACGCUGGCGGCGUGCUUAACACAUGCAAGUCGAACGAAGAGCGACGGAAGCUUGCUUCUAUCAAUCUUAGUGGCGAACGGGUGAGUAACGCGUAAUCAACCUGCCCUUCAGAGGGGGACAACAGUUGGAAACGACUGCUAAUACCGCAUACGAUCUAACCUCGGCAUCGAGGAUAGAUGAAAGGUGGCCUCUACAUGUAAGCUAUCACUGAAGGAGGGGAGUGCGUCUGAUUAGCUAGUUGGAGGGGUAACGGACCACCAAGGCGAUGAUCAGUAGCAGGUCUGCGAGGAUGAGCGGCCAGACUGAGACGGAGACCCGGCACAGACUCAUACGGGAGGCAGCCGUGGGGAAUCUUCCGCAAUGGACGAAAGUCUGACGGAGCAACGCCGCGUGAGUGAUGACGGCCUUCGGGUUGUAAAGCUCUGUUUAUCGGGACGAAAGGCCUUCUUGCGAAUAGUGAGAAGGAUUGACGGUACCGGAAUAGAAAGCAACGGCUAACUACGUG